rnacentral:rRNA from 1 species
AAUGAACGUUGGCGGCGUGGAUUAGGCAUGCAAGUCGAGCGAGAACCCCGCAAGGGGGGACAGCGGCGAAAGGGACAGUAAUGUGUAGAUUAUCUGCCCUCAGGUCCGGGAUAGCUGCGGGAAACUGCAGGUAAUACCUGAUAACAUCUCCGGAUCAAAGGUGUGAUUCCGCCUGAGGAUGAGUCUGCAUCCUAUUAGCUAGUUGGUGGGGUAAUGGCCUACCAAGGCAUUGAUGUGUAGCAGGUGUGAGAGCACGACCUGCGUCAUUGGGACUGAGACACUGCGCAGACACCUACGGGUGGCUGCAGUCGAGAAUCUUCGGCGAUGGGCGCAAGCCUGAACGAGCGACGCCGCGUGUGAGAUGAAGGCCUUCGGGUUGUAAACCACUGUCAGAGGGGAUGAAAUGCAGGUGGGUUCUCCCAUCUGUUUGACAUAGCCUCAGAGGAAGGACGGGCUAAGUUCGUG